rnacentral:miRNA from 1 species
UUCUUAGUAUAAGUAUGUCCCAUGCAGUAUUUACAUCGUAUUGUAUAUUUAAACUUAUAUUGCCUGGAACAUGCUUAUAUUAAAA